UACGUAGGGGGCAAGCGUUGUCCGGAUUUAUUGGGCGUAAAGAGCGUGUAGGCGGCCUGACAGGUCUGCUGUGAAAACUCGAGGCUCAACCUCGAGAUGUCGGCGGAAACCGUCUGGCUAGAGUCCGGAAGAGGAGAGUGGAAUUCCUGGUGUAACGGUGAAAUGCGCAGAUAUCAGGAAGAACACCUAUGGCGAAGGCAGCUCUCUGGGACGGUACUGACGCUGAGGAGCGAAAGCGUGGGGAGCGAACAGG
rnacentral:rRNA from 1 species